CGAACGGGUGAGUAACGCGUGAGGAACCUGCCUCAAAGAGGGGGACAACAGUUGGAAACGACUGCUAAUACCGCAUAAGCCCACGGCUCGGCAUCGAGCAGAGGGAAAAGGAGUGAUCCGCUUUGAGAUGGCCUCGCGUCCGAUUAGCUAGUUGGUGAGGUAACGGCCCACCAAGGCGACGAUCGGUAGCCGGACUGGGAGGUUGAACGGCCACACUGGAACUGAGACACGGUCCAG
rnacentral:rRNA from 1 species